GGUUACUGCUAUCGGUGUUCGCCUAAGCCAUGCGAGUCAUAUGUUCGUAAGAACAUGGCGUACUGCUCAGUAACACGUGGAUAACCUGCCCUUGGGUCCGGCAUAACCCCGGGAAACUGGGGAUAAUUCCGGAUAACGCACAUAUGCUGGAAUGCUUUUUGCGUAAAAUGGAUUCGUCUGCCCAAGGAUGGGUCUGCGGCCUAUCAGGUAGUAGUGGGUGUAAUGUACCUACUAGCCUACGACGGGUACGGGUUGUGAGAGCAAGAGCCCGGAGAUGGAUUCUGAGACAUGAAUCCAGGCCCUACGGGGCGCAGCAGGCGCGAAAACUUUACAAUGCGGGAAACCGUGAUAAGGGGACACCGAGUGCCAGCAUCCUAUGCUGGCUGUCCGGGUGUGUAAAAUACACCUGUUAGCAAGGGCCGGGCAAGACCGGUGCCAGCCGCCGCGGUAACACCGGCGGCCCGAGUGGUGAUCGUGAUUAUUGGGUCUAAAGGGUCCGUAGCCGGUUUGGUCAGUCCUCCGGGAAAUCUGACAGCUUAACUGUUAGGCUUUCGGAGGAUACUGCCAGACUUGGAACCGGGAGAGGUAAGAGGCACUACAGGGGUAGGAGUGAAAUCUUGUAAUCCCUGUGGGACCACCUGUGGCGAAGGCGUCUUACCAGAACGGGUUCGACGGUGAGGGACGAAAGCUGGGGGCACGAACCGGAUUAGAUACCCGGGUAGUCCCAGCCGUAAACGAUGCUCGCUAGGUGUCAGGCAUGGCGCGACCGUGUCUGGUGCCGCAGGGAAGCCGUGAAGCGAGCCACCUGGGAAGUACGGCCGCAAGGCUGAAACUUAA
rnacentral:rRNA from 1 species